UCCAGAGCCGAAAGUCAUGCAGGUUCGGCAGCACCUUCGGCGGCCGAAAGUGCCCUCCAGAGACGAAAGUCCAUUUUCGGGGGCAGCUUCGGCAACCGAAAGGCUUGCCUCACAGACAGGUUUGGUGGCCGAAAAUCCUUUCGGCUGCCGAACCUGGUUUCUCCCGAAGGGCAGAAACCAGCUCUUCAAAGCACACUUUCCUCCUCAAACCUUCCAAACAAGCAACCACUCUCUCAAAGCAUGCAUACAUACAUACAUCAACACCUAGGGGUCUCAAACUAUCCUAAACCCCAACUACAACACAUCAAACAUACAUAUCCAACAUACAUUGCUCAAAAACACAAAGUAAACCCAUAAACUCAACAUAACCUAUACAUGCAUUUCUACCCCAUAAAAACUUCAUAAAAUUUGUUUAAAACAUGGAAUGAACUACAGAUCUACUCUUACCUCUUGAAGAACGAGAGGAGAGACGACCCUAGCUUGGAGGUGGGGAGAAAUCCGCUCCUUAGUCUCCUAGCUUCAAAACUUUGCUCUUUUGCUCAAAUAUCUUCAAAUCAACAUAAAACUAGUUAAAACAUGAAAGAUUGGGGGGAAAACAUCUAAAAUGAACCAUGGGAGAGCAAGAACUCACCGUGGCCGAAAAUGGGGAGAAAACUCGCCCGUUUCGGCCAUGGAGCUCUUAUAUAGGGGCUAGCAGACCACCUUUCGGCAGCCUAAAGUGCCUCCAAAACUCAUGCAAGUUCGGCGGCCGAACCUUUGAAACUUUCGGAAGCCUAACUUGCCUCCCUAAAUCAUCCCACGUUCGGCGGCCGAACUUGGGGUUCGGCUGCCGAACCUGGAAAUGUCUCCUUGGUCUUUUUCAUUUAAAACUCAAUUUCCUUUUUGCUUAAAACCAUAAGAUACAUUAAAACGUUUUAUGAAAACAUGGUUUUACCCUUCUAGAGGUCUCCGACAUCCGAGAUUCCACCGGACGGUAUGAAUUCCGAUACCGGAGUCUAGCCGGGUAUUACACUAUACAUAAUCAUAAUCAUCAACCCACACUGGAGUCCUCAACAAUGCUCCAAUGGGGUAACAUACAUACAUUAAGUUUGGUUUUCAAUAAUCAUCAUUAAACAUUUGAGAUCAUGUACUAAAAAGGGAUUAACACAUACUAUGGUCAAGCACAACUCUAAACUUCCAUAAGCAUCAUUACAUAACACUUCUAUAUCAUACUUUUACAUUACAUCAAAUCCAUGUCCACCUCUAGCUAUUACAUAAUACACAACUCUACUCCUGCUGACCUCCUGGUCUACCCUAUACCUGCAAACCUGGGGGUUAAGGGAGAGGGGUGAGCUAUAAAGCCCAGUGAGCAGAAUAAUUAAACAUUCAAUUUAAAUUUCAUGCUUUCAUGAAAUGCAACACAUCACAAACAAUUCACGUCAAGGAUGAACUUGUCACCAUUUAACCCUCCAUACAGUCAAACCAUGCCAGGAGCGUAGUUUAGGCACGCCUGGACUUCCAUAGCAUAAUAUACAUAUCCAAUAGUGCCGGGGGCGUAGUGCAAGCUCACCCGGUCUUUCCCUUACAUAGUGCCAGGGGCGUAGUGCAGGCACGCCUGGACUUCCAUAGCAUAACAUCAUGUCAUAACGUGUGAGGGCUAAUGGAUCAUUCAACAUUCAUCCACAUCAACAACAUAUUAUGCAAUGCAACAUAUUCGUGAAUUCUAAUGCAAGCACCCUAAUAUAUCUCAUGGCAUUCAUGAUGCGUGUAUCAUGCUCAGAAUUUAUUUAUUUACUUUGAAACAAAAUAAGGUAUUCCACUCACCUCUGGCUGAAGCUCUAACAGACUCAGAAGCAGCUGAACUCACUGCUGGGGUCCUCGGUUCCUCGGGUCUGAACCUACACAGGUGGACUCAAAUGAGGGACCAAACAUUCAUGAAUAUGACUCUAAAAUACUCUCCAAAAACCCCCUAAAACACCUCAAAACAUCCAUAGAAAACAUGCAAAGGAAGGCUAAACAGGGCACUUUCGGCGGCAGGUUCGGCGGCCGAAAGUCCCUCCAGAGCCGAAAGUCAUACAGGUUCGGCGGCACCUUUGGCGGCCGAAAGUGCCCUCCAGAGACGAAAGUCCAUUUUCGGGGGCAGGCUUCGGCAGCCGAAAGGCUUGCCUCACAGACAGGUUCGGCGGCCGAACUCAGCUCUUCAAUGCACACUUUCCUCCCAAACCCUCCAAUCAAGCAUCCAACUCUCUCAAAUCAUGCAUAGACACUUGCAUCAACACAU
rnacentral:lncRNA from 1 species